rnacentral:rRNA from 1 species
UACGUAGGGGGCAAGCGUUGUCCGGAUUUAUUGGGCGUAAAGAGCUCGUAGGUGGUUCGGUAAGUCGGAUGUGAAAUCUCCAGGCUCAACCUGGAGGGGUCAUUCGAUACUGCCGUGACUAGAGGUCGGUAGGGGAGUGUGGAAUUCCUGGUGGAGCGGUGAAAUGCGCAGAUAUCAGGAGGAACACCGGUGGCGAAGGCGGUGGUCUGGGCCGGAACUGACGCUGAGGAGCGAAAGCGUGGGGAGCGAACAGG